CGUUGUUGUUGUUGCCUUGUCGUUGUCUUGCCAUUGUUGUUGUCUUGCCGUUGUUGUUGUCUUGCCGUUGUUGUUGUUGCCUUGUCGUUGUCUUGCCGAUGUUGUCGUUGUUGUCGUUGUUGUUGUUGUUGUCUUGGCGUUGUUGUCGUCGUCGUCGUCGCCGUCGAGCGUUGUUGUUGUUGUUGUUGUUGUUGUUGUUGUUGUUGUUGUUGUUGUUGUCUUGCCGUUGUUGCUGUUGCUGUUGUCGUUGUUGUUGUUGUUGUUGUUGCUGUUGUUUUGCCGUUGUUGUUGUUGUCUUGCCGUUGUUGCUGUUGUUGUUGUCUUGCCGUUGUUGCUGCUGUUGUUGUUGUUGUUGUUGUUGUUGUUGUUGUUGUUGUUGUUGUUAAAUGUCGUUGUUGCCGUUGUUGUUGAAUGUCGUUGAAUGUUGUCGAAUGUUGUUGUCGUUGUCGAAUGUUGUUACAGUUUUGCUAUUGUUGUUGUUGUUGUUAUCAACCAGGAUUAGUUAAAGUACGUUCAAAAACUCAUUAAUAAUUCAUGAAGCAAUUAUCCAA